GGAAGAGUGGCAGAGCGGUUGAAUGCACCGGUCUUGAAAACCGGCGAGGAUGCAAGUCCUCCGUGAGUUCGAAUCUCACCUCUUCCGCCA
rnacentral:tRNA from 1 species